UACGUAGGGACCAAGCGUUGUUCGGAUUUACUGGGCGUAAAGGGCGCGUAGGCGGCUUAACAAGUCACUUGUGAAAUCUCCGGGCUUAACUCGGAACGGCCAAGUGAAACUGUCAAGCUAGAGUGCAGAAGGGGCAAUCGGAAUUCUUGGUGUAGCGGUGAAAUGCGUAGAUAUCGUGAAGGAAGACCAGUGGCGAAGGCGG
rnacentral:rRNA from 1 species